rnacentral:rRNA from 1 species
GACGUAGGUGGCGAACGUUAUCCGGAAUUAUUGGGCGUAAAGGGUGCGUAGGCGGCCAUGUAAGUAGGGUGUGAAAUCCCCCGGCUUAACCGGGGAACUGCGCCCUAAACUGUAUGGCUGGAGUGAGAUAGGGGUGUGUGGAACUUCCGGUGGAGCGGUGAAAUGUGUUGAUAUCGGAAGGAACGCCGGUGGCGAAAGCGACACACUGGGUCUCAACUGACGCUGAGGCACGAAAGCCAGGGGAGCGAACGGG